UGCCUCAGUAACGGCGAGUGAAGCGGCAACAGCUCAAAUUUGAAAUCUGGCGUCUUCGGCGUCCGAGUUGUAAUUUGCAGAGGAUGCUUCUGGGCAGCCACCGGUCUAAGUGCCUUGGAACAGGCCGUCAUAGAGGGUGAGAAUCCCGUAUGUGACCGGAAGGGCACCCUCCACGUAGCUCCUUCGAAGAGUCGAGUUGUUUGGGAAUGCAGCUCAAAAUGGGAGGUAAAUUUCUUCUAAAGCUAAAUACCGGCCAGAGACCGAUAGCGCACAAGUAGAGUGAUCGAAAGAUGAAAAGCACUUUGGAAAGAGAGUUAAAAAGCACGUGAAAUUGUUGAAAGGGAAGCGCUUGCAACCAGACUUGCCUGCGGUGUUCCGCCGGUCUUCUGACCGGUCUAUUCGCCGCCUGCAGGCCAGCAUCGUUUGGGGCCGCCGGAUAAAAGCGUCGGGAAUGUGGCUCCCCUCGGGGAGUGUUAUAGCCCGGCGUGCAAUACGGCGCGUCUCGAGCGAGGUCCGCGCUUCGGCUAGGAUGCUGGCGUAAUGGUUGUAAGCGGCCCGUCUUGAA
rnacentral:rRNA from 1 species